rnacentral:rRNA from 1 species
GACGAACGCUGGCGGCGUGCUUAACACAUGCAAGUCGAACGGAAAGGCCCUGCUUUUGUGGGGUGCUCGAGUGGCGAACGGGUGAGUAACACGUGAGUAACCUGCCCUUGACUUUGGGAUAACUUCAGGAAACUGGGGCUAAUACCGGAUAGGAGCUCCUGCUGCAUGGUGGGGGUUGGAAAGUUUCGGCGGUGGGGGAUGGACUCGCGGCUUAUCAGCGUGUUGGUGGGGUAGUGGCUUACCAAGGCUUUGACGGGUAGCCGGCCUGAGAGGGUGACCGGCCACAUUGGGACUGAGAUACGGCCCAGACUCCUACGGGAGGCAGCAGUGGGGAAUAUUGCACAAUGGGCGGAAGCCUGAUGCAGCAACGCCGCGUGCGGGAUGACGGCCUUCGGGUUGUAAUCCGCUUUCGCCUGUGACGAAGCGUGAGUGACGGUAAUGGGUAAAGAAGCACCGGCUAACUACGUG